AGCGGGGAGGUAGCAAUACUUCCGCCGGCGACCGGCGCACGGGUGAGUAACACGUAUGGAACCUGCCCGUAGCAGGGGGAUAAGCGGAAGAAAUUCCGUCUAAUACCGCGUAAUAACUCCGAGAGGCAUCUCAUGGAGUUUAAAGGGUAACACCGGCUACGGAUGGCCAUGCGGCGCAUUAGCUAGUUGGCGGGGUAACGGCCCACCAAGGCGACGAUGCGUAGGGGUUCUGAGAGGAAGGUCCCCCACACUGGUACUGAGACACGGACCAGACUCCUACGGGAGGCAGCAGUGAGGAAUAUUGGUCAAUGGGCGCGAGCCUGAACCAGCCAAGUCGCGUGAGGGAAGACGGUCCUAUGGAUUGUAAACCUCUUUUGUCGGGGAGCAAAAGACGCCACGCGUGGCGUUCCGAGAGUACCCGAAGAAAAAGCAUCGGCUAACUCCGUGCCAGCAGCCGCGGUAAUACGGAGGAUGCGAGCGUUAUCCGGAUUUAUUGGGUUUAAAGGGUGCGCAGGCGGAAGAUCAAGUCAGCGGUAAAAUUGAGAGGCUCAACCUCUUCGAGCCGUUGAAACUGGUUUUCUUGAGUGAGCGAGAAGUAUGCGGAAUGCGUGGUGUAGCGGUGAAAUGCAUAGAUAUCACGCAGAACUCCGAUUGCGAAGGCAGCAUACCGGCGCUCAACUGACGCUCAUGCACGAAAGUGUGGGUAUCGAACA
rnacentral:rRNA from 1 species